GACGAUCGCUGGCGGCGUGCUUAACACAUGCAAGUCGAACGGAAAGGCCCUGCUUUUGUGGGGUGCUCGAGUGGCGAACGGGUGAGUAACACGUGAGUAACCUGCCCUUGACUUUGGGAUAACUUCAGGAAACUGGGGCUAAUACCGGAUAGGAGCUCCUGCUGCAUGGUGUGGGUUGGAAAGUUUCGGCGGUUGGGGAUGGACUCGCGGCUUAUCAGCUUGUUGGUGGGGUAGUGGCUUACCAAGGCUUUGACGGGUAGCCGGCCUGAGAGGGUGACCGGCCACAUUGGGACUGAGAUACGGCCCAGACUCCUACGGGAGGCAGCAGUGGGGAAUAUUGCACAAUGGGCGGAAGCCUGAUGCAGCAACGCCGCGUGCGGGAUGACGGCCUUCGGGUUGUAAACCGCUUUCGCCUGUGACGAAGCGUGAGUGACGGUAAUGGGUAAAGAAGCACCGGCUAACUACGUG
rnacentral:rRNA from 1 species